rnacentral:lncRNA from 1 species
AUUUUUUGCUCUUUAUUCCAUCUCCUUUGAGGAUUGUUCUGGAGAGACAUUGAUUCAUUUCGGGGUCCUCUGUGAAAGAUUAAUAGAUCUUUUGCAUUUUACUUCUUUCUUCAUAAUUAAGAUUUAUGGGAGUGUUUUGAUGUAAAUAAAUAACAUACUUUUAAGUCCUUUUGUGUUUUUGGGAGAAGGGGCAGUAUGUUAUAUAUGUUAUGUUUUGUUUUCGUAUGUUUCUGC